rnacentral:rRNA from 1 species
UACGAAGGGGGCUAGCGUUGCUCGGAAUCACUGGGCGUAAAGGGUGCGUAGGCGGGUCUUUAAGUCAGGGGUGAAAUCCUGGAGCUCAACUCCAGAACUGCCUUUGAUACUGAAGAUCUUGAGUUCGGGAGAGGUGAGUGGAACUGCGAGUGUAGAGGUGAAAUUCGUAGAUAUUCGCAAGAACACCAGUGGCGAAGGCGGCUCACUGGCCCGAUACUGACGCUGAGGAGCGAAAGCCAGGGGGGCAAACGGG